AUUGAACGCUGGCGGCAGGCCUAACACAUGCAAGUCGAGCGAACCUAGCUUGCUAGGUGAGCGGCGAACGGGUGAGUAACGCGUAGGAAUCUGCCUGGUAGUGGGGGACAACGUUCCGAAAGGAACGCUAAUACCGCAUACGCCCUACGGGGGAAAGCAGGGGAUCUUCGGACCUUGCGCUAUCAGAUGAGCCUGCGUCGGAUUAGCUAGUUGGUGGGGUAAAGGCCUACCAAGGCGACGAUCCGUAACUGGUCUGAGAGGAUGAUCAGUCACACCGGAACUGAGACACGGUCCGGACUCCUACGGGAGGCAGCAGUGGGGAAUAUUGGACAAUGGGGGCAACCCUGAUCCAGCCAUGCCGCGUGUGUGAAGAAGGCCUUCGGGUUGUAAAGCACUUUAGGUCGGGAGGAAGGUUCGCUGGCUAAUAUCCAGCGGAAUUGACGUUACCGACAGAAUAAGCACCGGCUAACUCCGUGCCAGCAGCCGCGGUAAUACGGAGGGUGCGAGCGUUAAUCGGAAUUACUGGGCGUAAAGCGCGCGUAGGCGGCUUGAUAAAUCGGGUGUGAAAUCCCUGGGCUUAACCUGGGAACUGCAUCCGACACUGUCAGGCUAGAGUGUGGGAGAGGGUGACGGAAUUCCCGGUGUAGCGGUGAAAUGCGUAGAUAUCGGGAGGAACAUCAGUGGCGAAGGCGGUUGCCUGGCCCAACACUGACGCUGAGGUGCGAAAGCGUGGGUAGCAAACAGGAUUAGAUACCCUGGUAGUCCACGCCGUAAACGAUGUCGACUAGCCGUUGGGAACCUUAGAGUUUCUUGUGGCGCAGCUAACGCGAUAAGUCGACCGCCUGGGGAGUACGGCCGCAAGGUUAAAACUCAAAUGAAUUGACGGGGGCCCGCACAAGCGGUGGAGCAUGUGGUUUAAUUCGAUGCAACGCGAAGAACCUUACCACCCCUUGACAUCCUGCGAACUUUCUAGAGAUAGAUUGGUGCCUUCGGGAGCGCAGAGACAGGUGCUGCAUGGCUGUCGUCAGCUCGUGUUGUGAAAUGUUGGGUUAAGUCCCGUAACGAGCGCAACCCUUGUCCUUAGUUGCCAGCGAGUAAUGUCGGGAACUCUAAGGAGACUGCCGGUGACAAACCGGAGGAAGGUGGGGACGACGUCAAGUCAUCAUGGCCCUUACGGGGUGGGCUACACACGUGCUACAAUGGCCGGUACAGACGGUUGCAAACCCGCGAGGGGGAGCCAAUCCGAGAAAACCGGUCGUAGUCCGGAUUGCAGUCUGCAACUCGACUGCAUGAAGUCGGAAUCGCUAGUAAUCGCGGAUCAGAAUGCCGCGGUGAAUACGUUCCCGGGCCUUGUACACACCGCCC
rnacentral:rRNA from 1 species